UCUCCCUCCAGCAAACAUCAGCAGGCUGGCCAGCAUGGUCAAACACACUGCAUCCACCCUGUCCCUCCCUGGGAUUUACUGCCAAUGGAACAAGGGCAGCUCAUGCUGAAGGUAGCAGGGAUCAGUGCUGCCGCAAGUCAAAAGCAAUAAAUCAGUGGCCAGUAAUAACUACUGCAGACAAGAUCUCUUCUUUUGGUCACGUAACAUGAGUUUUUUUCAGGGAUCCAGAAUCUGGAAAUGCCCAUGAGCAGCAGGGUCAAGUGGUCAGCUGAAGAAGUUGCUGGGCCACCAGCAAGCUGGAGAGAAGAGGUGAGAGGUUGAACAUGCAGCAGCCACACUUAAGGGUCUUCCAUCACAGCUGCCCAGAGGCCCUGGGAGGAGAGAGGGCUAGAAAUCAUUUGUGGGCUUUCUCCUGGACAUUGGCACGGUCACCUACUACUUCCACUUUGUUUCCUGCGUAGCCAGUUCCCUUGCUAAGUAGUUAAUUUAAAUAGGAACAUCUAUCUUCUAAAUUGUGUGUAUCAAACAAUCAAUCACUUGGAGGCUGAAAACCUCCCCAAAUCUGUAAUUAUGGUGUCACAGCUGAUUGUGAUGAAAGUGAAGCUGUCAGGGAGACAUUUGUGAGACAAACACACUUGCGCACAGCAGUUUUCCCCAGAGUGCUAUGGCAAGCUUUCCUGCCAUAUGGGGCCAUGAUUAAUAGCCCAGCCUAUAUGUCUCUGCUGUGAUGUGGAAUAGUGGCUGGAGAUCCUGAGACCCCAGGACUAGUAGGAGCAUUGACUCCACACACAGAGGAGGAAGAAAAAUAACCCUGCUUUGCUGCAUGGAGGUAGUGCAGAACCCAGAUGAGGAGGCAGGAUGGUGCUGAGCUUCCCCUUGGCUGCAGUGCUUAACAGGGACUGAACUUGCAGCACUCUAUGACCACUGUACACCCAUGACACCACUUCACCAUCCUUCCAAAGCUGGAGGUUCCCAUGGUGCUCUGGAGCCUCUGCCCUGGAAACCUUUCAGCUGAGGAAUCAAAGAUGGACCAUGCGGUGUGCUCCUUCCACCUCCCCGGGGCCGGGGCUAAGGGCGCAGAUGUGGGCACGCCGACUGCUGCAGUGAAUAGGAGGAUGGCAAAGACGUACUGGGCACAUGGAGGAAAGCAUUCGAUGAGGUUUUCCUUCAGUUUCCAUGGAAAUAAACUGUGCAGAGACCAGAAGGAUAUGCAUGCAGUCCUGUCCUGCUCUGAGCGUGCCCAUGUGUGCAGUAAAGAGAAAGAGCUGAGGGCACCCCACUGUCUGGAAAUGCUGAAAUGCUGCAUCCACCAUGACCUGUGGAACAAGAUACAGGCACAGACACAAGGCCCAGACGUGGUAUCCUUGCAAGUACAAGGCCUGGGGAUUAAACCCACGGCACACAAAGCCUGAUAGUCUCUUAGCUGGUUGUUUCACGCAGGACAAAGCAAUAUAGCACUGAGCUCACUUUUUAUUACAUUUUUUAAGGGAGGUCCUUCUUCCCACACUUCUCCAAGAGGCACAACAAUAUGUCAGAUACGUGAUCAGCCCCAGGUUCCCCUGGCUGAUCAGGGCUGUCCCCUCUGAA
rnacentral:lncRNA from 1 species